GCGUCUCGGUGCUCGCCAAGUCUGAGUUGGUGGCGGCGGCGGCCGAGCCCAAGAGCCCGGUCGCCCUGGCAGCCUUCGACGGCUUCUUCUCUGCUUAACGAGUAGUGUGUGAAUUGAUUCGGAGGAGUUUACCUCUCCCCCAGUGUCAUGUACUGUAACUCCGAUGUGUACAUAACCGUGUGGUUUGCUGAUUUGCAACAAGGAAGAAGUGUGCUUUUUGUACCGCUCUUGGUACCUUCUUGGAGGGCAGAUAUGCCUAUGCGUUUUGCCAUUUUAUCUUUGAAAUUUCGUGUCAAGCUGCCAACAGACUAGUCUGGUUGUCUUGGCAUACUCGAGUGGUUUUGCCGACUGCUGAUGCUUGUUUGAAGCCCCAACCUUCAUCCAAUCCCUUCAAAUCUUUAUUUAUCCCUAAUACAUUAGGUAGAAGUAGUGUAUUGAGUAUUGAGAAAAAUGCAUUAUAAUUUGAGGAGAAAUAUGGGGAUGAAACAUGUCAAAUACACUAGAAUAAAAUGGUGUUAUGGGAUGUGUGGUGAUCGAGUAGUUUGACCAGAAUAAUCCCCAUAAAUUUCCUAAAAUACACUAGUACCAACGAGUAGUUUGACCAGAAUAAUCCCCAUAAAUUUCCUAAAAUACACUAGUACCAAACAAGUCCUUGAUGGUGGCACCCCGACACAGCAAUAGCUCAUCAUAUGAAACCAAAAUGGGGUUAUUAUGGCCCGGUUUAAAGGCGUUAAACAGGGAUGCAAACAUGUUCGCCAAAUCAGCGGCGAUGAGGACCGAAGACCGCCGCGUCAAGUGGCAGGGCUGAAACCGCAUCACCUCCAUACAGGUUUACUAGAUGUGAGAAAAUUCGUUUGGUAGCGUACACGGAGGUCUAGUUUGCACUCACACGAAUCAUAAAGCAGCUCAUAGCAUGGCUAGUUAGAGCAUCUUCAACAAACGAGGCUGGGCGCGCGUAACGACCGUUUUUGCGACGCUGCAAAUUUUUAACACGUCAACAUGUCGCUUCAACAGACGCUAUAACAAAUCAAGCGCGCGUUCAGCUGAUGCACAUAUAAGAUGAUCAAACAUUCAAAAUAUGCAAAGUUUGCACAAACAAAAUGAGCACAAGCAAGUUCAUGACAAACAAGUUCACACAAAUAAAUUAAACAUGAACAAUCAUUCUUCAUCCUCUUCUUUCCGCAAAAAAGAAAAAUUCUUUAUCCUCUUCCUCAUCGUUGGCCUCUUUCGAUUUGUCCGUUUCUUCUUCUGAUUUUUCAUCCUCUUGUUUGUUCUCUUUCUCAUUGAAAAGUCGAAUGGUGUUUGAACUAUCAAUAAAGUAGCAGUUCAUAGCAUGGCUAGUUAGAGCAUCUUCAACAAACGAGGCUAGGCACGCGUAACGACCGUUUUUGUGCUUCAUCAGACGCUGCAAAUUUUUAACACGUCAACAGACGCUAUAACAAAUCAAGCGCGCGUUCAGCUGACGCACAUAUAAGAUGAUCAAACAUUCAAAAUAUGCAAAGUUUGCACAAACAAAAUAAGCACAAGCAAGUUCAUGACAAACAAGUUCACACAAAUAAAUUAAACAUGAACAAUCAUUCUUCAUCCUCUUCUUUCUGCAAAAAAAAUAAUUCUUUAUCCUCUUCCUCAUCGUUGGCCUCUUUCGAUUUGUCCGUUUCUUCUUCUGAUUUUUCAAUCUCUUGUUUGUUCUCCUUUUCAUUGAAAAGUCGAACGGUGUUUGAACUAUCAAUAAAGGUAUCAUACAAGGCAUGUGAGGCACACCGAAAACUCCCAUCCAUCCAUGCCAUCGAAAGCAUGUGAGAACAACUAUGCCAUCGAAAGCAUGUGAGAACAACUAAAAUCAGACUACAUAUGCGCACAUUUGCCAACAACAACAAAAUAAAAACAAAAAUUGUACCUUGUGAGCAUUUCAUCAAGGAUUAUGUGUGCAUUGGCCGCCGACGCAACAAAUUGCGAGGUUUUCACCGCUUCGCGCGGCGGAGGUACGGCCGGCUUCACUCGUGUCUUCUUCUUUAUUACCGCUUUCCNNNNNNNNNNNNNNNNNNNNNNNNNNNNNNNNNNNNNNNNNNNNNNNNNNNNNNNNNNNNNNNNNNNNNNNNNNNNNNNNNNNNNNNNNNNNNNNNNNNNUUGAGGGCCAAGGCAGGAGAGCCACACGGGGCCCACAAGCCCUGUAGCCGCCACCACGGGGGGGGGGGGCUACCAGUCUUGUGGACCCCCUGGAGCUCCCCUGCCCUAGCUCUUUCGCCUAUAAAUUCCCUAAAAUCCCAGAAAAAAAUCAGGGCAUCCACGAAAACACUUUUCCGCCGCCGCAAGCUUCCGUUUCCGCGAUAUCUCAUCUGGAGACCCUUCCCGGUGCCCUGCCGAAGGGGACUUUGGAGUUGGAGGGCUUCUACAUCAACAUCAUCACCUCUCCAAUGACUCGUGAGUAGUCCACUUCAGACCUACACGUCCGUAGCUAGUAGCUAGAUGGAUUCUUCUCUCUCUUGGAUCUUCAAUACAAAGUUCUCCAUGAUCUUCAUGGAGAUCUAUCCUAUGUAAUCCUCUUUGGUGGUGUGUUUGUCGAGAUCCGAUGAAUUGUGGAUUUGUGAUCAGAUUAUCUAUGAAUUGUAUUUGAGUCUUUGCUGAUUUCUUAUAUGAUGAUUUGAUAUCCUUGUAAGUCUCUCCGAGUCUUGGUUUUGUUUGGCCAACUAGAUCUAUGAUUCUUGCAAUGGGAGAAGUGCUUGGUUUUGGGUUCAUACCGUGUGGUGACCUUUCCCAGUGACAGAAGGGGCAGCAAGGCACACAUCAUGUUGUUGCCAUCAAGGGUAAUAAGAUGGGCUUUUAUCAUAGAUAUGAGAUUGUCCAUCUACAUCAUGUCAUCUUGCUUAAGGCGUUACUCUGUUCUUAUGAACCUAAAACACUAGAUGCAUGCUGGAUAGCGGUCGACGUGUGGAGUAAUAGUAGUAGAUGCAGAAAGUAUCGGUCUACUUGCUUUGGACGUGAUGCCUAUAGAUAUAAUCAUUGCCAUAGAUAACAUCACGACUUUGCGCGGUUCUAUCAAUUGCUCGACAGUAAUCCGUUCACCCACGGUCUAAUUGCUUUCAUGAGAGAAGCCACUAGUGAACACCACGGCCCCGGGUCUAUCCAUAACUAUCGUCUCCACUUCCACUUUUACUUUGCUUUUUUACCUUUUUGCUUUCAGUUCUCACUUUGCAAACAAUCUAUAAGGGAUUGACAACCCCUUCAUAGCGUUGGGUGCAAGCUCUUUGUGUUUGUGCAGGUACUUGUGACUCGACGCGAUCCUCCCACUGGAUCGAUACCUUGGUUCUCAAACUGAGGGAAAUACUUACCGCCGCUGUGCUACAUCACCCUUUCCUCUUCAAGGGAACACCAACACAAGGCUCCAAGGCCGCGGGGAAAUCCUUUGCAUAUUUGCCAAGGAAGUCCCUAUAGGCGUAGCCAGUAGCAGCAGGAUUCCUGGCGCCGUUGUCAGGGAAGGUCUGUUGUCACAGUAGCAGAAGGAUUUCUAGAGCCGUUGCCGGGGAGGAGGAUCGCUUGCCGAGGAGUAUCAAGACAAGAAUAAUCUCCCGUCAACACGCCUAUUUCUAGCAUGGGGAAGGGAGAUCAAGUCAAGAUCUAUCAAAGUAGGUGUCACAAACUCAUCUCUUGCAUUUACUUUUUUUGCCAGUUGCCUCUCGUUUUCCUCUCCCCCACUUCACAUUUGCCGUUUUCAUUUGCCUUUCUCCUUUGCCGUUUUAUUUUUCCUUUUCUCCUUUGCCGUUUUCAUUUGCCUUUCUCCUUUGCCGUUUUCUUUUUUCCUUUUGCCGUUCUCUUUUGCCCGUUUCACUCACUUUCUUCCUGCUCGUUUGUGUGUGGGAUAGUCCAUCAAUGGCUAGACCCACCACUCCAAACGAUACCCCUGAGAACGAAGUUCUCAGUUUCAAGCAGAAUGAGGAAGAAAAUUUAAAGGACACUUGGUACAGGAUUUGCAAUGCUCAAAGUAGAUCUACUCGUAAGCAGUCCACUACCGUUCUUCUUCGCAGUUCUUAUGUUGGAAUCUCUCCUUGGAAUAGGUAUAUUCUUGAUACCAUCGUAGGCGGGAAUUUUUUGGGGAUCCAUACCGUUGACUCCUAUGGAGCUAUCAUGAAUUUGGUAGGCUCACCCCCGCUCAUGGUUAAUGGAACUACCUUGACCUUGGAACACGUGAUGCAAAGGCUUGACGCUAUUGAAAACAAAAUUGCCACAAUUGAAUUUAUUGAGGGUUUGGAUGGAAAGAUCCACAAUCAAAUUACUCAGUACGGAUCCAAAGUGGGAAUGGUUUUGAAAAAUUUAAGGGAGAAGGAACCUAUAGUUAAUGAUUCCUCUAGAAUUGGCAAACUAGAAGAUGUCAUAACCAACUUGGGUUGUGCUUUUGCCGCUGUGCAAAAUACUCCAAAUCUCACUCUCAAAAAGACCGUCAAGUCUGUUUUUGUUCCUAAAGCUAGUGGUGAGUCAUCCAAUAAAUAUGAAGACCUUAAGAUGAUAAAUGAUCACGCUACUUAUGGUUUGAGCACCAAAGAUGACUAUACGUGAUUCCAUCACCUUUUGCCUAGCUAAGGGCGUUAAACAAUAGCGCAUGUUGGGAGGCAACCCAACGAAUCUAUCAUUUUUCUUUCUAUUUUGUGUUUUCCACACUUUCAUAAUUCUGUUAUGAUUGUGUUUUUUGUGUUUCUUUUUGCGUUUGUGCCAAGUGAAACCGUUAUGAUUAAUCUUGGGGAUGAUCGUUUGGUCAUGCUGGAAAAGACAGAAACUUUCUGUUAACGAAAAGAAUUUUCAUUUUUUUUAUGUAAGAGAUUUUGAGUUGAUUCUUUUUUGCUUCUGAUUGCUACGCACAUUCUUCAGACUGUUGUAAUUUUUCAGAAUUUUGGAAGUACCAGAAGUAUACGAAGUAUACAGAUUGCUACAGACUGGUCUGCUGUUAACAGAUUCUGUUUUUGUUGAGUUGGUUGCUUAUUUUGAUGAAACUAUGGAUAGUACCGGGGGGUAUUAGCCAUGGAAGAUUGAAAAUACAGUAACCCAACAUCAACAUAAGUAGAAUUUAUUAAGUUUUCUACAGUACCUAAGGAAGUGGUGGUUUGCUUUCUUAUACUAAUGAUAUCACGAGUUUCUGUUUAAAUUUCGUGUUGUGAAGUUUUCAAGUUUUGGGUGAAGUUCUUAUGGACAAAGAGAUAAAGAGUGGCAAGAUCUCAAGCUUGGGGAUGCCCAAGGCACCCCAAGUUGAUUCAAGGAUGCCGUAAAAGCCUAAGCUUGGGGAUGCCCCGGGAAGGCAUCCCCUNNNNNNNNNNNNNNNNNNNNNNNNNNNNNNNNNNNNNNNNNNNNNNNNNNNNNNNNNNNNNNNNNNNNNNNNNNNNNNNNNNNNNNNNNNNNNNNNNNNNUUGAGGGCCAAGGCAGGAGAGCCACAGGGGGCCCACAAGCCCUGUAGCCGCCACCAGGGGGGCCGGCGGCUACCAGGCUUGUGCCCGCCUGGAGCUCCCCUGCCCUAGCUCUUUCGCCUAUAAAUUCCCUAAAAUCCCAGAAAAUAUUAGGGCAUCCACGAAAACACUUUUCCGCCGCCGCAAGCUUCCGUUUCCGCGAGAUCUCAUCUGGAGACCCUUCUCGGUGCCCUGCCGGAGGGGACUUUGGAGUUGGAGGGCUUCUACAUCAACAUCAUCGCCUCUCCAAUGACUCGUGAGUAGUCCACUUCAGACCUACGGGUUCGUAGUUAGUAGCUAGAUGGCUUCUUCUCUCUCUUGGAUCUUCAAUACAAAGUUCCCCAUGAUCUUCAUGGAGAUCUAUCCGAUGUAAUCCUCUUUGGCGGUGUGUUUGUCGAGAUCCGAUGAAUUGUGGAUUUGUGAUCAGAUUAUCUAUGAAUUAUAUUUGAGUCUUUGCUGAUUUCUUAUAUGCAAGAUUUGAUAUCCUUGUAAGUCUCUCCGAGUCUUGGGUUUUGUUUGGCCAACUAGAUCUAUGAUUCUUGCAAUGGGAGAAGUGCUUGGUUUUCGGUUCAUACCGUGUGGUGACCUUUCCCAGUGACACAAGGGGCAGCAAGGCACGCAUCAUGUUGUUGCCAUCAAGGGUAACAAGAUGGGCUUUUAUCAUAGAUAUGAGAUUGUCCAUCUACAUCAUGUCAUCUUGCUUAAGGCGUUACUCUGUGAUACGUCUCCAUCGUAUCAACUUUUCCAAACUCUUUUGCCCUUGUUUUGGACUCUAAUUUGCAUGAUUUGAAUGGAACUAACCCGCACUGACGCUGUUUUCAGCAGAAUUGCCAUGAUGUUGUUUUUGUGCAGAAAUGGAAGUUCUCAGAACGUCCUGAAAAAUUACGUNAUACGUCUCCAUCGUAUCAACUUUUCCAAACUCUUUUGCCCUUGUUUUGGACUCUAAUUUGCAUGAUUUGAAUGGAACUAACCCGCACUGACGCUGUUUUCAGCAGAAUUGCCAUGAUGUUGUUUUUGUGCAGAAAUGGAAGUUCUCAGAACGUCCUGAAAAAUUACGUAGAAUUUUUCUGGAAAAUAUGAAAAAUACGUGCGCAAAGAUCCAUCGGAGGGGAUGGGCCAGUGGGCCACAAGCCCUGUUGCCGCGGCCUCCCCCAUGGCCGCGGCGACCAAGCUUGUGGGGCCCACGUGGGUCUGCCGCCCCCAACUCCAGCUCUAUAAAUUCACUUUCUUUCCGAAAAAAGUCAGAAGAGAAGAUUUCAUCGCGUUUGCGAUACAGAGGCGCCGCCACAUCUUGUUCUUCAUCUGGAGGGCAGAUCUGGAGUCCGUUUUGGGCUCCGGAGAGGGGAAAUCGUCGCCAUCGUCAUCAUCAACCUUCUUCCCUCUCCAAUUCCAUGAAGCUCUUCAUCGUUCGUGAGUAAUCUAUUCGUAGGCUCGCUAGGCGGUGAUGAGUAGGAUGAGAUCUAUCUUGUAAUCGAGUUAGUUUUGACGGGGAUUGAUCCCUAGUAUCCACUAUGUUCUGAGAUUGAUGUUGCUACUACUUUGCCAUGCUUAAUACUUGUCACUAGGGUCCGAGUGCCUGAUUUCAGAUCUCAAAUUAUUAUGUUGUCACCAAUAUAUGUGUGUUUUAGAUCCGAUCUUGCAGGUUGUAGUUACCUACUAUGUGUUAUGACCCGACAACCCCGGAGUGACAAUAACCGGAACCACUCCCGGUGAUGACCGUAAUUUGAGGAGUUCAUGUGUUCACCAAGUGCUAAUGCGUUGUUCCGGUACUUUAUUAAAAGGAGAACCUUAAUAUCCCGUAGUAUCCUUUUGGACCCCGCUGCCACGGGAGGGAUGGACAAUAGAUGUCAUGCAAGUUCUUUUCCCUAAGCACGUAUGACUACACACGGAAUGCAUGCCUACAUCACAUUGACGAACGGGAGCUAGCCACAUAUCUCUCCGUGUUAUAACUGUUGCAUGAUGAAUGUCAUCCAAACGAAUCACCGACCCAUUGCCUACGGGUUUGUCCCACUGCUGCUGUUACUUGUUUUGCUCUGCUGCUAUUACUACUGUUGCUGCUACUGUUACUUGCUUUGCUCUGCUGCUGUCACCACUGUUGCUACUGUUGCUACUUGCUACUGCUAUUACUUGCUACUGUUGCUACUUGCUACUGCUAUCACUACUGCUGUUCCUUGCCACCGCUGAUACUCGUUACACUGCUACUACUUGCUAGAAUACCUUUUUUCUUGCGCCGUUGACGGGAAAGAAUAUUUUCCGUCCACGGUCAACUUCUGGCGCCAUUGAUAUGACCGUUAGGAAUAGUCUGCCAUCAACAAAUCGUUUCUGACACUGUUGUUAUCAUACUACUUUGUUGCUGAUACUUUGCUUGCAGAUACUAAUCUUUCAGGUGCGGUUGAAUCUGACACAUUCAGCUGCUAAUACUUGAGAGUAUCCUUUCACUUCCUGACGGGCGAACCAACAAAUUUGGGUUGAAUACUCUACCCUCGAAAACUGUCGUGAACCCAUGCGCUGGUGGGCCAUUGCAAGACAAUUGCUAAUUGUUGAGCAACUCGGAGCAAUUCUGGCUCUGUUGUCGCGAAGGCAUCAAUUCAGGGACACGUCAACAACAUUCUUCUAGUGUCGUUGCCGGGGACUGCCGUCAGCAGCAUUUUUUUGGCACCGUUGCCGGGGUAGGGAUUGCUAUAUUCUCUGAGUCACUUGGGAUUUAUAUCUGCUGAUCACUAUGAAGAAUCUGAAAGACCCAGAAACCAAAGUCUUGCCCUCAACUACGAGGGGAGGUAAGGAACUGCCAUCUAGCUCUGCACUUGAUUCACCUUCAGUUAUGAGUAAGUUUGCGACAUCACCUCCUUCUAGAAAUCUUGAUAUGUCGCCUGUGCUUGAUGAUGCUUAUGAUGCUACUGCUAGAGAUGCUAUGCCUGAUACUGCUAGAGAUGCUAUGCCUGAUACUGCUUUGCCUGAUGAUGCUAGAGAUGCUAUUUUGCCUGAUGAUGCUAUGCUUGAUACUGCUAGAGAUACUACUUUGCCUGAUGUGCCACUAGGGGUAUUCCUUGAUGCUCAUAUUGCUAGAGUUACUGCCAAUGCUCGUGAUGCUUCUGAAACUGCCGAUACUAUUGAGAUAGAACCUGCUUUUGCUCCUGCUAGAUCUAGCUCUCCUAGAUAUGAAUUGCCUGAUAUACUUGAGGGUUACGUUAUGGAGGGAGAGAUAGCUGAGGAUUUUCUUGCGUGUAAGGAUACCUAUGACACUGAGAAAUUACUUCUCAAGUGGAAGGAAAAAUCUCUGAAAGCUAGGAUGAAAUACGACCCGAAGUUUGCCACUUCACCUAUCUUUAUCACCGAUAAGGAUUAUGAAUUCGCCCUAUAGNNNNNNNNNNNNNNNNNNNNNNNNNNNNNNNNNNNNNNNNNNNNNNNNNNNNNNNNNNNNNNNNNNNNNNNNNNNNNNNNNNNNNNNNNNNNNNNNNNNNAGAGAAACUUACCUGCGCUCACCUGAAGCGGCCCAGCCCAUCAGGGGCACCACUGUCUUCUUCCUCCUCCCAGGAGGAGAAGCAGUUGCGUGCCCGACGCAUCGCCGGGCACCGCCACGUCCCCUAGCCACCUCCUGCUCGCCCCCGUCCUUAUCUCCUCGCCCGUGGAUGCCCCAGACCCCCCCUUGAGCUCAUCCUCCUCUCCUCUCUCUAGGUUCCCCUUCUCUCUCUCUGCUUUCCCUCGUUGCCUCCAUUGCCGAGCUAGAGCUCGAGCUCGCCUCUCUGGUCUCCGGCCUUCCCUCGCCUCUCCGAGAAGCCCAGAAGGACCGCCCCGAUGCCCUGCUCCUCCUCGCCAUUGGAAUCGAGCCCGGACGACCCCUGUCGUCGCCAUCGCCGUUGUCUUCCUCACCUCCGGCCACCGGCCCCCUUCCAUCGAUUCACCCCCUCCGACGCGACCCCGACCUCCCCGUCACCGCAAAUGGAACCGUCGUGAGCUCACCGUCAUUUCCCCUCUCUUUCCACGUUCUCCCGUGCCGUGUAGCCCCGCUCCCCGCCACGGCCGAACCCCGCCGCCGCUUAGGCUCGUCGCCGGCACCUCUCCGGCGACCUAGCCCCCCCUUCGAGCCCCCUGUGCGAUGUGGUCGAGCCUGGGCUACGCCCAAGUGCUCUCAGCGCUUGUUUCCGGCCCCUGUAGUGCCAUCUAGGCAACUCCGGCGAGCCCUCCGCCGCGGGCUUGGUCGCCAACGACCACCCUCCGGUGAGGGCCAACGUGGCCAGUCGUUAGCCAGUACUAACCCCCCCCCCCAGAGCCACUGCCAGAGGGCCCCACGCCUGGUCAAACCCCAAUUAGGGGCUGGUCAGCGCGGGGUUAGCCUCUGGGUCACUGACCAGUGGGCCCCACUGGUCAGGGUUUGACCUGGCCGGCCAGUUGAACUGCUGACGUCAGUACUGAUGCAAUAUUAGUAUUUCUGUUUAUAAAAUAAAUCCAGGAAAUUGCUAAAACUUGUAAAAAUCAUAGAAAUUAAAAUAUAACUCGGAUGAAAAUAAUUUAUAUAUGAAAAAGUAUCAGAAAAAUCCAAGGAAUCUGAUUAUGGCAUUUUCNNNNNNNNNNNNNNNNNNNNNNNNNNNNNNNNNNNNNNNNNNNNNNNNNNNNNNNNNNNNNNNNNNNNNNNNNNNNNNNNNNNNNNNNNNNNNNNNNNNNACUCACUAUAGGGCGGGCAACAUAUUUUAAAAACACCGACAACCGACCGACGGUAGACCGAAUACGGUGCCGCUACGGUCGACCGUUCGGGUACUAGACGGACUCCGAUUGCGAUGAAACUUGACACGCGGCCUACCUAUAUUAAAAUACGACCGCACGUCAAAUAUCAACCCAAUCAGAGAAGGUUUUAUGCACACUUUUAAAACAAGGUUUUGACGAUGCCGCGGGCGCGUGCGUGUGCGGUCGGGCUCAGAACGGACAACGACGAGAACCGGCAACAAACAACGGAUGCAAGUUUUGGAAACUGGCGGCAACGGAGAUGCCGAUGCAAUGCAGAUGAUGCGCAUGAUGCGAUGAUGAUGCAGCAAAAGAAAAUAGACACACGACGAAAACGGAAUAGAAGGGGAAUCUUCUGGAACGUCGGCCUCGGGCUGUCACAACUCUCCUACACUAUAAGAGGAUCUCGCCCCGAGAUCCAAGAAUGAAAGGAAGAGGGGAUAAGAAAGCAAGAGGUAAAACUUAAUCGCUUCUUUGACAAAUGAGUGAAACCAACAUCCUUGAAGGUUGCAAAGAGAUGAGGAAUGAUAAGAGAAACAAGCAAGAAUUCACGGAAAAUUUCGGCAGCACUUCGGUAGGAAAAUGGGACAAAAAAUUCGAUAAGAUAGGAGAAAUAGACAAUAUUCAUUACAAACAACUAAAUAGAACAAGGGAACACUAUGAUCUUGGUAGACCAACAUAAUAGACCCAAAAGAGCAACAUCACAAUGCCUCCGGAACAAUAGAAUAGGAACUAGCUCAUACGGAAGAAGAGAAUGAAGAGAGAAUGACAACUACUCACUCCAAUGAACUUGGCAAGCAUCCUUGCAAGAAGAAUUGGACGGAGUUGUUGGAAAACAACAGCGAAAGAACAAGAAAGUAGUGGGCUUAUGGAAACCUUUUCAAACUAAUGAAGUGACAACCAGCCACUAACAGAACAAGGAUUGAUUGGGAGAAACAAGAUAUGAACAAUUCCUUACACCAAGAGGAUACAUUGAGAACUUGGAUUAAUGACAAGCACCAUGAUAGCAACAAUCCAUAGGAAAAUCUUUAGGUGAAAUCCAAACCAAGAUAGCUCAAUGAAGAAAUCAUGGGUUGAAAACAUCUCAUGAUCAUAGAAUUGGUGGGUUUAAUUAUCUCAUUCUUGAAAGGAAAUCUCUUCGAAACUCCUACACUAACAAGAAUGCUAUAAUACCACCUCAAAGGAUAAAGGAGAACAAUUGCACAUAGAAAUGCAAGAGAAGAAAACUUGAGGUUCUCCAAUAAGAAUCUUGAAGAACACUUUGAGAAUGAAUUGACAUCAUGAGCCGCUCCGGAAGAAGAAUUCAGAUUACUAUGAACAAGAAUAAGAAUUAUGUUAUGCUUAUCCUUCAUCAAAUUAAGUUGAUGAGAAGCAACGGAUUUAGCAUACCACUUAUUCUUCUUGAAAGAACCUUGAAGAGAUAGAGAGAUAAGCACCACUUGAAGCACAAUUGAAUGAAGCACCGGCAAGAAUUCGAGCUCNNNNNNNNNNNNNNNNNNNNNNNNNNNNNNNNNNNNNNNNNNNNNNNNNNNNNNNNNNNNNNNNNNNNNNNNNNNNNNNNNNNNNNNNNNNNNNNNNNNNGAGAUUUGAAAACAAGCGGGGCAACUGGACUACGGGGUCAGAGGGGAUGACUGCUCCACCUAUACUAAGCAGAUUUAAAGUACAGGACUGAAAGUAGCAGUUCAUCAAAAAUAGGUUAUGCAUCAGAUAUAGGAGCUAACUACAACAGUAGCAAAAUACUAAUGCAAGCAGUAGGAAGAAAGACAUAGGCAAUAUAGGAAUGAUCAAGGGGGGGUUUGCUUGCCUUGCUGCUCUGCGGCAAAGGACUGAUCGGCAGGGUCAUAGAUGUACCCGGCAGCAGAGUCAGUCUCGGGGCCUACCGGUAAGAAGAGGGGGAAGAAACAAUAAAUAAUAGCAACGGUGUGUUGGAAUUAUGCCCUAGAGGCAAUAAUAAAUAUAGUUAUUAUUAUAAUUCAUGUAUCAAGAUAACCGUUUAUUAUCCAUGCUAUAAUUGUAUUGAAUGAAGACUUAUAUACAUGUGUGGAUACAUAGACAAAACACUGCCCCUAGCAAGCCUCUAGUUGGCUAGCCAGUUGAUCAAAGAUAGUCACUGUCUUCUGAUUAUGAACAAGGUGUUGUUGCUUGAUAACUGGAUCACGUCAUUAGGAGAAUCACGUGAUGGACUAGACCCAAACUAAUAGACGUAGCAUGUUGAUCGUGUCAUUUUGUUGCUACUGUUUUCUGCGUGUCAAGUAUUUGUUCCUAUGACCAUGAGAUCAUAUAACUCACUGACACCGGAGGAAUACUUUGUGAGUAUCAAACGUCGCAACGUAACUGGGUGACUAUAAAGAUGCUCUACAGGUAUCUCCGAAGGUGUUCGUUGAGUUAGUAUGGAUCGAGACUAGGAUUUGUCACUCCGUGUGACGGAGAGGUAUCUUGGGGCCCACUCGGUAAUACAACAUCACACACAAGCCUUGCAAGCAAUGUGACUUAAUGUAAGUUGCGGGAUCUUGUAUUACGGAACGAGUAAAGAGACUUGCCGAUAAACGAGAUUGAAAUAGGUAUACGGAUACUGACGAUCGAAUCUCGGGCAAGUAACAUACCGAAGGACAAAGGGAAUGACAUACGGGAUUAUAUGAAUCCUUGGCACUGAGGUUCAAACGAUAAGAUCUUCGUAGAAUAUGUAGGAUCCAAUAUGGGCAUCUAGGUCCCGCUAUUGGAUAUUGACCGAGGAGUCUCUCGGGUCAUGUCUACAUAGUUCUCGAACUCGCAGGGUCUGCACACUUAAGGUUCGACGUUGUUUUAUGCGUAUUUGAGUUAUAUGGUUGGUUACCGAAUGUUGUUCGGAGUCCCGAAUGAGAUCACGGACGUCACGAGGGUUUCCGGAAUGGUCCAGAAACGAAGAUUGAUAUAUAGGAUGACCUCAUUUGAUUACCGGAAGGUUUUCGGAGUUACCGGGAAUGUACCGGGAAUGACGAAUGGGUUCUGGGAGUUCACCGGGUGGCAACCCACCCCGGGGAAGCCCAUAGGCCUUGGGGGUGGCACACCAGCCCUUAGUGGGCUGGUGGGACAGCCCAAGAAGGCCCUAUACGCCAUGGGAAGAAAAUCAAAGAGAAAAGAAAAAAAAGGAGGAGGUNNNNNNNNNNNNNNNNNNNNNNNNNNNNNNNNNNNNNNNNNNNNNNNNNNNNNNNNNNNNNNNNNNNNNNNNNNNNNNNNNNNNNNNNNNNNNNNNNNNNUCAACAGCGGCUAAGCAUAUAUUUGGUGGCUAACUUACGAGUACAAGAAAUAAUAGGGAAGAUCUACGCAUAACGGACGUGAGCUACUGAUGAUCAAAAGAAUGAUCCUGAACACCUACCUACGUCAGACAUAACCCCACCGUGUCCUCGAUCGGAGCAGGGCUCACGAAAGAGACAGUCACGGUUACGCACACAGUUGGCAAGUUUUAAUUAAGUUAACUUCAAGUUAUCUAGAACCGGUGUUAAACAAAGCUUCCACGUUGCCACAUAACCGCGGGCACGGCUUUCCGAAAGAUUUAACCCUGCAGAGGUGCUCCAACUAGUCCAUCACAAAUUACCACAAGCCGCAUAGAAAUCCUCAAUCACGAAGCUCGCGAUCUCGUCGGAUUCCCUAGUGGAAAACCUCAACUGUGAGAUUACCCAAAGCAUCACCGGAAUCCCGAUGCACAAGAUAUCUCGUCAAAGGUAAAACUAAUCCAGCAAGGCCGCCCGACGUGUCGACGAUCCCGAUAUGAGUCGCGUACCUCGUUCUCAGGACACGACGGAUGAGCGAUGGUUACCACGCCAAACGCCGAGUUGCCCCGGGUAGCAUUAAUAAGCUGCUCUGUUUUGGACCAACACUCAUGAGGAGCACUGGCCCGGGGGUUUAUUAAAAUAGUCCGCGGGUGCCGGCGGGUCCCUAUGCAUUAUUAUUAGGUUAUUAGGCAAAUGUAGUACCAAAGUUGGGCCUUGCCAGACCAGCUUUAAUCUAAAACGAAUUAUCAAGGGGGUCCCCAUAACAACCCCGAUCGUGUUAGGAGCGCUCAAUUAUGGAACAUAACACCGGUAGCCGGAAACUAAGGGGGCAAAGGUGGAACAAAACACCAGGCUAGAAAGGCCGAGCCUUCCACCUUUUACCAAGUAUAUAGGUGCAUUAAAUUAAAUAGCAUUUAAAUAUGGUGAUAUAACAAGGAACCCAUGUAAUCACAUGGAAUCAACUGCACCUGCAACUAGCAACGCUAUCAACAGGGUUAAGCUAGCAGUAACAUAGCCAAUAAGUGGUUUGCUAGGUCGAACAGGUUGAAGGUUUCAUGGCAUUGUUGAGAGGCUAAUAUUUAACAUGUGGUAGGCAACGAGACAUAAACGGUAGCAACGGUAAAACUAGCAUGGCAAUGAUAGUAAUGGUAUCUGGGGAAAUGGUCAUCUUGCCUGAGAUCCCGCUUGGAAGAAGAACAUCUCUGUGAAGCAGGCGAACCAACGUAGUCGAACGGGUCCUCACAUUCCGACACGCUUGCGGAACUCUAUCGAGACGGAGCAAACCGGAAACAAAUAUCAACACAGAUAUUCACCACACGAUGCACAACAUGAUGCAUACCCUAAUAUGAUGCAUGAUCAAUUCAAUAUGCAAGGGAUGGCAUGGCAAAUCACCUCACGCAAACACUACACAUCAAUUGAAGCUCGAUAUGCAACGGGUUACAUACCGACGAAACUCCACGAUUAAUUAUUUAGUUCACUCCCGUUUAUUUACACGGCAACAUUAAAUGUUGUUAACAUGGCAAGGGGUGAAGCGAUGAUCCUACGUGUCAUCCUAGUCGGUUUAACUCGCGGAACAAGAGCGGAACUACGGCACGGGAGACAUGCAACACAAGAUCAUAUGCCAUGAAUGCGUCAUGCACGCAAGUUCAAACAUCACGGGCAAGAAGAGAAGGAAACAUGUGUCGCCACGGCAAGCGAGAGGGAACCAUGGCGGCAAGACGGAAACGAAGCCACGACAACGUUCCCAUCCCGAUACUCGUCGAGAUAUCGUGCCAACGAUCUGGAAGCGUGUGCGGGAUCACUAAAUAAGAAUGGGGUGAUCCCGUAUAUCGGGUUCCCAUGUGUCGAGGCACGACGAAAGAAGACAACGGGCAACGGGCCACAUACGGUGCAAACAUACAUUCAACUCAUACAACACAUGCAUACGGUUCUCGACGCGUACCAACGGUAUACNNNNNNNNNNNNNNNNNNNNNNNNNNNNNNNNNNNNNNNNNNNNNNNNNNNNNNNNNNNNNNNNNNNNNNNNNNNNNNNNNNNNNNNNNNNNNNNNNNNNNGUCGUGUGAUUAGAUUUAUUCGUUGCAUCGUCAUGUAGUUUGCAUCAUCGCAUCAUGCAUGGCAUCAUGUCAACUGUGUUUAGUCGGUGUCGCCUGCUGCUCCGUGUUGUUGGGUGAUAGUGCUUCAUGAGUGGCGUUGUUUUGUUGGAGUGAUGAAAGAGGGUGCGUGAGAGCCACCGCUAAGCCCUGUUGCACCGCGGACCUAAAACCUUCUCUCCCCUCUCAUUUCCUUUUUGUGGUUUGGCUAAAUACUUUAGUUUAGUUCCCUAUUUUAAAAAUUAAAGAUUCGUCUUCUUUUAAAGAAAAAACAUUUUAUUAAAUGUGGAGGCAACCCCUUGAGUUUUCUUCAUUUUCUCCUUUUGUUUUAUCUUUAAACAAUCUCAUUUUCUUAUCUCUUUUAAAGAACUUUUAUUUUACACUUUAAAUAAAAUAGGUUUAUUUUAUUCUUUUAAAAAAGGGUUUUGAUUUUUAAUUCUUUAAAAGGUUUCAUUUUACUCUUCGAAAAGGUUUCAUUUUUAUUUGUUUAAAGAGCCCGAUCUAUUUUUAUAGUUGGAGCAUGUUUUAAGGAGCCCAAAAGUAUUUUUGUUUUAGUAAAUUCCUUUUCUUCUGGUUGUGGGUUCCUCUUUUUUUUUUAAAAACCAGCUAUUUUAUUUUUUUGUGCAAGACAUUUUUUUAUUUUAGAAGGAGAGGACCCAGACCAAGGCCCAGCCGGCCAAGGCCCAGGCCCCCUCCAACCCUAGCGUCGUGCUGCGCCUCUCCCUCGUCACCCACAGCGCCGUCUCCUCCCGAUUCUCGUCUCCUCGUUCCCUGCUCCGCCCUGCCGCCUCCAGGUCCCCUUGCCUCGCCGUGGCCACCUCCCUCGCCCUCUCUUCUCCCCUCUACGCGCCGCCAGCCCCAGGCCCGAGCCGCACCGCCCUGCCAGCGCCGAGCCCCCUGCUCGCCGGCCUCCCCUGGUCCUCCUCGCCAUGCGGUCUCCCGCGCGCAGCCGUCCAUCUGCACGUCGAGCCGCCUCUCUGCUCCCCGUCCCCUGCGCCCGCAUCGCCGCCGGUGCCCGACCUGCGCGCCGCCCUCGCCCCCGAGUUCCCCGCGUGCUCGCCCUCGGCCUCGAGCUCGCCGCCCCGGUCGCAGCCUCCCUGCCAUGGCGACCUCGCCGUUCCCCGCGUCGCCCCUCNNNNNNNNNNNNNNNNNNNNNNNNNNNNNNNNNNNNNNNNNNNNNNNNNNNNNNNNNNNNNNNNNNNNNNNNNNNNNNNNNNNNNNNNNNNNNNNNNNNNGACUCACGGGAAGAUAUCACAACACAACUCUAGACACAAAUAAAAUAACAUCAGCUUCAUAUUACAAGCCAGGGGCCUCGAGGGCUAGAAUACGAAAGCUCGAUAAACACACGAGUCAGCGGAAGCAACAAAAUCUGAGUACAGACAUAAAACAUGGGGUGCCUUAGAGAAGGCUAGCACAAAAGAUACAACGAUCGAAUGAGGCGAGGCCUCCUACCUGGGAACCUCCUAACUACUCCUGAUCAUCAGCGGCCUCCACGUAGUAGUAGGCACCGUCGGGGUAGGAGUCGUCGUCGGCGGGAACCUCCAUCUCCUGGGCUCCAUCAUCUGGUCGCAGCAACGGAUCGAGGGGACAAGAGGGGGAGCAAAGCAGAAGUGAGUACUCAUCCAAAGUACUCGCAAGUCUUACAUCAGAACUAUUAUAAUUAUGCAUCAGUAUCAAAGAAGGGGGGGCUAUAUGUGGACUGACUGCAGCAAUGCGAGAAUAAAGAGAGAAGGCCUAGUCCUAUCGAAGACUAGCAUCUUCAGGGUCUUGCAGCAAUAGACGAGAGUAGAACAGGGGUAACACAUUAAAAGUCAUAUUGUUGCAGCAAUAUUAAAGUGAGGUCAUGCCUAAAGAUCCUCCCUCGACUCCCUGCGAGGAAGCAAUCCCGAGGCAAACUAAUUCCAGUUAAGUAACAAUUGUAGUUGUAUAAGAUCGGGGCACAACUCCAAGUCGUCCUNNNNNNNNNNNNNNNNNNNNNNNNNNNNNNNNNNNNNNNNNNNNNNNNNNNNNNNNNNNNNNNNNNNNNNNNNNNNNNNNNNNNNNNNNNNNNNNNNNNNAGUUGCUACUCAUGCUAAGUGGUUUCAACUAUUUACUGUGACAAAAUCAGGUCAUGCAAAGGAAUGGGUUCAACUACCGAUAACAUGUACAGUUGAAUCGUGUUUGUCCUAACGCAGUAAAAGAGAGCAGGAGCGAGAGAGUGGGUUUAUUUCAAUAUGCUCAAGGGGGUUUGCUUGCCUGACACGUCUGAAGAUAGCAAUGAGUCUUCAUCAAUGUCAACGAUCACAUCGUCGGAAACAUCGUUUACCGAGAGGGAACAACACCGGCAAACAAGAAGGAACAACAAUUACUUCACAGAAAUGCAACACUAUGAUGCAUGCUCAAGACAUGAAAUGAAAGGUGGCAGGCCUAAUGUGGCUAUCAUUACUUAAAUUGAAGUUGGUUUGAAUUAGGAUCCAAACAUCACUUCAAGCCGGUUAUUUUUCCGGAUACCCUUUUAAUUGAUUCAACCUGAAGCUCAAAACAAAUUGUUCCAACAUGUAUGGAGUUAGUAUCUUGAGGUACUGAUUUGCAUUGACCCUUGUUUGGUCAUAACAAUUGAAGUGAAAAUCAAAUAAGUAUCAAUUUCCAACUCCAAACUAUUUAUUAAAUUUACCCUAUUCAUCAUUUUGCCUAUUUAGUGUUGUUAACUUUUUCAAACAUGCAUGAAAAUGCCAUAAUCAGAUUCCUUGGAUUUUUCUGAUACUUUUUCAUAUAUAAAUUAUUUUCAUCCGAGUUAUAUUUUAAUUUCUAUGAUUUUUACAAGUUUUAGCAAUUUCCUGGAUUUAUUUUAUAAACAGAAAUACUAAUAUUGCAUCAGUACUGACGUCAGCAGGUCAACUGGCCGGCCAGGUCAAACCCUGACCAGUGGGGCCCACUGGUCAGUGACCCAGAGGCUAACCCCGCGCUGACCAGCCCCUAAUUGGGGUUUGACCAGGCGUGGGGCCCUCUGGCAGUGGCUCUGGGGGGGGGGGUUAGUACUGGCUAACGACUGGCCACGUUGGCCCUCACCGGAGGGUGGUCGUUGGCGACCAAGCCCGCGGCGGAGGGCUCGCCGGAGUUGCCUAGAUGGCACUACAGGGGCCGGAAACAAGCGCUGAGAGCACUUGGGCGUAGCCCAGGCUCGACCACAUCGCACAGGGGGCUCGAAGGGGGGGCUAGGUCGCCGGAGAGGCGCCGGCGACGAGCCUAAGCGGCGACGGGGUUCGGCCGUGGCGGGGAGCGGGGCUACGGGGCAUGGGAGAACGUGGAAAUAGAGGGGAAAUGACGGCGAGCUCACGACGGUUCCAUUUGCGGUGACGGGGAGGUCGGGAUCGCGUCGGAGGGGUUGAAUCGAUGGAAGGGGGCCGGUGGCCGGAGGUGAGGAAGACAAUGGCGAUGGCGACGACAGGGGUCAUCCGGGCUCGAUUCCAAUGGCGAGGAGGAGCAGGGCAUCGGGGCGGUCCUUCUGGGCUUCUCGGAGAGGCGAGGGAAGGCCGGAGACCAGAGAGGCGAGCUCGAGCUCUAGCUCGGCAAUGGAGGCAACGAGGGAAAGCAGAGAGAGAGAAGGGGAACCUAGAGAGAGGAGAGGAGGAUGAGCUCAAGGGGGGGUCUGGGGCAUCCACGGGCGAGGAGAUAAGGACGGGGGCGAGCAGGAGGUGGCUAGGGGACGUGGCGGUGCCCGGCGAUGCGUCGGGCACGCAACUGCUUCUCCUCCUGGCAGGAGGAAGAAUACAGUGGUGCCCCUGAUGGGCUGGGCCGCUUCAGGUGAGCGCAGGUAAGUUUCUCUCUCUCUCUUUUCCUAUUUUUCUUUUAUUUUCUUUCUGGCAUUUAGAUUUAGGAUUUUAAUAAAACAUUUAAUCAUUUUAUAAAACCCUAAAAUAGUAUUAUGUGACAGUAGUAAAAAUAAUCAAUGCCACAAANNNNNNNNNNNNNNNNNNNNNNNNNNNNNNNNNNNNNNNNNNNNNNNNNNNNNNNNNNNNNNNNNNNNNNNNNNNNNNNNNNNNNNNNNNNNNNNNNNNNAUUGAAUUCUUGGUUCUUGGUUAACUUUUCUGUGUGUGGGUUCUUAAGCUUAUGGUCUGUUGGGGAACAUUGCUGAGAAACAAAAAAUUUCCUACGCACACGCAAUACCUAUCCAUGGUGAUGAUCAUCUACCAGAGGGGAGAGUGAAUCUACAUACCCUUGUAGAUCGCUAAGUGGAAGCAUAUAUAACGCGUUUGAUGUAGUGGAACAUCUCCGCGAUUCAAAUCACAGCGUGUCCCGUGAUCUCAUCACGAUCCAUCCCGAUCUAGUGCCGAACGAACGACACCUCCGCGUUCAGCACACAUACAACUCGAUGACAAUCCCCACCUUGUUGAUCCAGCAAGAGGGGUGGAGAGGUAGAUGAGUUAUCCAACACGGAGGAAUGGUGGUGGUGAUGGUGGAUCUAUUCCAGCAGGGCUUCGCCUAAGCGUUGCUGAAAAACCGAUCUAGAGGAAGAACAAAUCUAGAGAGAAGUAGAGGGAGCAUGUGGCAAUUAGGGUUAGCCCUCACCUUUAAAACCUCUAGUAUAUAUAGGAGGGAGGGAGGGGAUGAGGCAGCCUCAAACCCUCAAGGUUUGGCCGAAAUUGGAGGUGCAGAAGUCCUACUCCAAUCCCACCAAGGGUAGGAUUCCCCUUCUCCACUUGGAAACCCUUUCCACCUUUUCCACCUUUGGGUUUCUUUCCUUCCCACCUCCAAUCCGCCUUGGGCUUUAUGGAGGCUUCGUACAGCCCACUAAGGCCUGGUCCAGAUCCUCCCACAGCCCAUGAGACCCUUUGGGGUGGGUGGGCCCACCUGGUGGACCCCAGAAACCCAUUCGUCACUCCCGGUACACUACCGAAAAUGUCUGAAACUUUUCCGGAGUUCAAAAACCACUUUCCUAUAUAUCAAGAUUUACCUCCGGACCAUUUCGGAGCUCGUCGUGAUGUCCAGGAUCUCAUCUGGGACUCCGAAAAACCUUCGGUUACCAACACCUAUAACUCAACUAUACCGAAACGUCACCGAACCUUCAGUGUGCAGACCCUGCGGGUUCGAAAACUAUGCAUACAUGACCUAAGACACUCCCCAGUCAAUAACUGAUGACCCUCAAGUAUAGGGGACCUAUCGUAGUCCUUUCGACAAGUAAGAGUGUCGAACCCAACGAGGAGCAGAAGGAUCCGACAAGUGGUUUUCAACAAGGUAAUAUAUGCAAGCACUGAAAUUGUCGGUAACAAGUAGUUGUGUGGUGAGAUGAUUCGUAGCAAGCAACAAGUAACAAAAGUAGCAAUGGUGCAGCAAAGUGGCCCAAUCCCUUUUGUACAAGGGACAAGCCUGGACAAACUCUUAUAGGAGGAAAAACACUCCCGUGGACACACGGGAAUUUCUGUCAUGCUAGUUUUCAUCAUGUUCAUAUNNNNNNNNNNNNNNNNNNNNNNNNNNNNNNNNNNNNNNNNNNNNNNNNNNNNNNNNNNNNNNNNNNNNNNNNNNNNNNNNNNNNNNNNNNNNNNNNNNNNNNNNNNNNNNNNNNNNNNNNNNNNNNNNNNNNNNNNNNNNNNNNNNNNNNNNNNNNNNNNNNNNNNNNNNNNNNNNNNNNNNNNNNNNNNNNNNNNNNNNNNNNNNNNNNNNNNNNNNNNNNNNNNNNNNNNNNNNNNNNNNNNNNNNNNNNNNNNNNNNNNNNNNNNNNNNNNNNNNNNNNNNNNNNNNNNNNNNNNNNNNNNNNNNNNNNNNNNNNNNNNNNNNNNNNNNNNNNNNNNNNNNNNNNNNNNNNNNNNNNNNNNNNNNNNNNNNNNNNNNNNGAUCUGAACAUAAACUCUUCCACCAAGUAAUCCAACUAGCAUCAACUACAAAGAGUAAUUAACACUACUAGCAACCUUACAAGUACCAAUAGGAGUCGCGAGAUGGAGAUUGGUUACAAGAGAUGAACUAGGGUUUGGAGAUGAGAUGUUGCUGAUGAAGAUGUUGAUGGUGAUGAGUCCCCUCCGAUGAGAGGAGUGUUGGUGAUGACGAUGGCGACGAUUUCCUCCUCCGGGAGGGAAGUUUCCCCGACAGGAUCGUCCUGCCGGAGCUCUAGAUUGGUUCUGCUCAAGUUCCGCCUCGUGGUGGCGGCGAAUCCUCCGAAAAGCCUCUUCGUGAUUUUUUCCAGACCGAAACCCUUCUUGUAGCAAAAGAGGGGGGCAAGUGGGCUAGCAGGGAGCCCACAAGCCCCCUAGGCGCGGCCAGGGGGGUGGCCGCGCCUAGCAGGCUUGUGGCCACUUGCUGGCGCCCCUGUGGCACUUCUUCGGCCCAGUAUUUUUUAUAAAUCCCAAAAAAAACCAUGUUGAUUUUCGGCUUUUGGAGUUGCGCAGAAUAGGCAUAUCAAACUUGCUCAUUUUUAGGCCAGAAUUCCAGCUGCCGGCAUUCUCCCUCUUCAUGUAAACCUUGCAAAAUAAGAGAGAAAAGGAAUAAGUAUUGUACCGUGAAGUGAAAUAACAGCCCAAAAAGCGAUAAAUAUCAACAUGAAAGCGUGAUGCAAAAUGGACGUAUCAACUCCCCCAAGCUUAGACCUCGCUUGUCCUCAAGCAAAAGCCUAGAUCAAUAAACAUGCCCACAUGUUUAGGGAGAGAGGUGUCGACAAAACAAGAUACGAACAUGCGGGCAUCAUGAUCAUGAUCAGAACAGCAAUACCAUCAUAUCAUCUCUUAUGCUAAAGUGACAAUUCAUUCACAAAGUAAAGUAUGGAUCAAGAACCUUACUGAGAAUUAACAACCGAUGGCCUUUAGUCAUUGAAGCAAUUGCAAUUUAUCACAACAUCAGAAAGAGUCAAAUAAGAGCUUGUAAAGCAAUCCACAUACUCAAUCAUCCUUUCGUUCUCUACAAUUGCUACAACUCACGUGGUACUCAUGAGAUCAAAGUUUCAGUUGGACACACAGAAAGAUAGGGGCUUAUAGUUUUGCCUCCCAACUGCUUACCUCAAGGGUAAUGUCAACAAUAAUAAUUCAUGAAUACUUACUUCCAAGUUGACAUAUGAAUAUAGAUCUUUCCCUAGCAUAUGACGUUAGCCAAGAUAAAGGAGAAAUAAGGAAUUGGUGAAGAUCACCAUGACUCUUUCAAGGGCAAAAAGUAAAGGUACAAGAUAGGCCCUUCGCAGAGGGAAGCAGAGGUUGUCAUGCGCUUUUGAGGUUUGGAUGUGUGUCCUCUUAGUGCGGAGGAACGUCACUUUAUAUUGCCUCCUGUGAUAAAGAACUUUAUUAUGCAGUCUGUCGCUUUUAUGUCUUCCUCAUCACAGGUUCGUACAAAGCUUAUUUCCACACACUAAUAGAUCAUACAUAUUUGGGAGCAAUUUUUAUUUCUUGCACCGAUGACAACUUACUUGAAGGAUCUUAUUCAAUCCAUAGGAAGGUAUGGUGGACUCUCAUGGCAAAACUGGGUUGAAGGUUUAUGGAUGCACAAGUAGUAUCUCUACUUGGUGCGGGAGUUUUGGCUAAUAUGAGGUGGAAGCAAUCGUCACAUGCUAAGGGAUCUCUAAUCAUAUAACAUUGUUCAGAACCAAGCAAACACAAUUCAUUAUGUUGUCUUCCUUGGACAACAUCUACUUCUAAGCAUGCAAUAGUUUAGUGAGUGUCCACAAUCAUAGAUGGUGUCAAAGAUGAGAUAUUUAUAUGUGAACCUCUCCUUCUUUAUCACUUCCUUUUAAUUGCAACAAUGACCAAGGUCUACGUUUGUCUACCCUCAACAAGUUUCAAUCAUCAUUCUUUUUAUAUGUGGAGCCAUCACUUCCCAUAAGAUCAUUACAUGAUCUUUCAUGCUUUUGUUCUUUUCUCAUCCUUUUGAUCAUGACAAGAGACAAAGCCCUUAACCAAGACACUCUUUAUUAUAUGGCUCACGAGCUCGAAUACAUCAGGGGUGACACAAAGCAAAACUCAAGCCUAAAACACUAAGACUUUUAUUCUACUAGAGAAAGAGAAAACUUAAAAGGAACAAACUAAAACAAAGGUAAAGGCAAAAGAGGUGAUGGUGAUACGAUUCCGGGGCAACUCCCCCAAGCUUGGCACAAGCCAACGGGAUUGCCCAUACCCAUGCUCAGUUGUCUUUCUUUGGAGGUGAUGGUGGUGGAGUUGUUGCAAUCUUUGAUUCCAAGAGGGCCAUUAAUCUUUAAUUUAUACCUUGGAGAUCUGUGAUAUGUUCCUCCAGCAAAACAACUUCACGAGCGAGAUAAGUAUUGCGAGCAUGAGUUGUUUCACAAGACCUCAAGAGUUCAAUCAAGGAUGGAGACAGUAGGUGGAAGUAGGGUUGGAGGAAAUCCACUUCUUCAACUUCUUCCUUGUUGAGCACAGAUUGCACUUCAUCCCACGCCUGAUUCUUCUCCUUAGUUUUGCCCUUGGUUUCUUUAGCUAGCCUUUACUUAGCCUCCAUGACCUCCAUCCUUUUUAGAUCAACACUUACUUCUCCAUAAACUUGAGGGAGAUUGUUCUCCCCCACAGAUUCCUGAGACAACAUCUUGCUCUAAAUUUGCGACAGAAAACAGGCUCGAAAUGAAAACAGAGGAAAUCUGCAUGAUACAAGGGUCAGACCUUUCGGGAGAUUAUAUAAUGAUUCUUUUCAGACCAGAAAGAGUACUCCGCACGAAAAUGGAGUCCGGGAGGCACACAAGGUGGCCAGAAGCCCCCCCAGGCGCGGCCAGGGGGUGGGCCCGCGCCUGGCAGGCUUGUCGCCUCCUCGCACGCUUUCCGGACUACUUCCAAUUUUUCUAUUUUUUCAAAUAUUCCAAAACGGAGAAAAAAAUCCUACUGGAAAAGUUUUGGAGUCUGUUUUCUUACCGAAUCACAUACCUCUUCGUUUUUGGAGUCUCGAACAGGCUGAUAAAUAUCCCUUAGGUAUUCUUCCGGAGUUCUGGUAUUGAUAAUAUUGCUUUCAACAUUAAUGGGAGUACGUGAGAUAUAAUGCUUGAUUCUCUGUCCAUUUACCACUCUCGGACAAUCACCUUCCAUGUUGUUGAUCUUGAUAGCACCGGAACGAUAUACUUCCUCAACAAUAUAGGGAUCUUACCAUUUAGAGAGAAGCUUGCCUGCAAAAAAGUCUUAAACGAGAAUUAUAUAGCAAGACAUAAUCACCUACAUUGAACUCACACUUUUGUAUCCUCUUAUCAUGCCACCUCUUAACCUUUUCUUUGAACAACUUGGCAUUCUCAUAUGCCUGAGUUCUCCAUUCAUCAAGCGAGCUAAUGUCAAAUAACCUCUUCUCACCAGCAAGUUUGAAAUCAAAGUUGAGCUCUUUGAUUGCCCAAUAAGUUUUAUGCUCUAGCUCAAGAGGUAAAUGACAUGCUUUACCGUACACCAUUUUGUACGGAGACAUGCCCAUGGGAUUCUUAUAGGAAGUUCUAUAAGCCCGCAGUGCAUCAUCGAGCUUCUUAGACCAAUUCUUUCUAGACCUGUUGACAGUAUUUUGCAGAAUCAGUUUAAUCUCUCUAUUGCUUAGCUCUGCUUGACCACUGGACUGAGGGUGAUAGGGAGACGCAAUUCUAUGGUUGACAUCGUACUUAGCAAGCGUUUUACGGAAAGCACCAUGAAUGAAAUGUGAACCACCGUCGGUCAUUAGAUAUCUAGGGACUCCAAAUCAAGGGAAAAUAACUUCUUUAAGCAUCCUGAUAGAGGUGUUGUGAUCAACACUACUAGUGGGGAUAGCUUCUACCCACUUAGUGACGUAGUCAACAGCAACUAGGAUAUGAGUAUACCCGUUGGAUUUUGGAAAAGGUCCCAUAUAAUCAAAGCCCCAAACAUCAAAUGGUUCAAUGACAAGUGAAUAGUUCAUAGGCAUGUCCUGACGUUUACUGGUAUUACCUAUUCUUUGACAUUCGUCACAAGACAAGACAAAUUUACGAGCAUCCUUGAAGAGAGUGGGCCAAUAGAAACCUGAUUGCAAUACCUUGUGUGCAGUUCUAUCUCCCGCAUGGUGUCCUCCGUAGGCCUUGGAGUGACACUUCUGUAGGAUUUGUCCCUGUUUAUGUUCAGGUACACAACGUCUAAUAACACCAUCUACUCCUUCCUUAUAAAGGUGAGGAUCAUCCCAAAAGUAAUGUCUCAAGUCAAAGAAGAAUUUCUUCUUUUGCUGGUAUGUGAAACUAGGUGGUAUAUAUUUGGCAACGAUAUAGUUUGCAUAAUAAGCAUACCACGGUGCACUACGUGAAGCAUUGAUGACACUCAAUUGCUCACCGGGAAAGCUAUCAUCAAUAGGUUGUGGGUCAUCAAGAAUGGUCUCCAACCUAGACAAGUUAUCUGCUACUGGGUUAUCAGCACAAAACAAAACAAAAGAAAAAGAGGAAAUUAGAAAGAGGAAAUAAUAGANUUCAACAUGAAAGUUGAUCAGCACAACGAGACGAACCCGGAUACACGGUCCAUUCGUGUGUCACGCGUCCCUAGCAUAGCAAACAUGGAACAUUUCCAUCGUUUCUAGUAUGACCGGUAGUAGCCCGAGACCCGAAAAAUAUUGUCAGAUAUUCUUCCGACCCGUCUAUGACGGAUGUUGCUGCGUUAGCUCAUGUCUAGCCUACAUCUUGCCAUGUCAUGCUUUGUGUUGCACCAUUGCUAUUAUUUAUUGUUUCUUCCCCCUCUUCUUACCGGUAGACCCCGAGACUGACGCUGCUGCUGGGUACAUCUACGACCCUGCCGAUCAGUCCUUUGCCGCAGAGCAGCAAGGCAAGCAAACCCCCCUUGAUCAUUCCUAUAUUGCCUAUGUCUUUCUUCCUACUGCUUGCAUUAGUAUUUUGCUAUUGUUGUAGUUAGCUCCUAUAUCUGAUGCAUAGCCUAUUUUUGAUGAACUGCUACUUUCAGUCCUGUACUUUAAAUCUGCUUAGUAUAGGUGGAGCAGUCAUCCCCUCUGACCCCGUAGUCCAGUUGCCCCGCUUGUUUUCAAAUCUCGAUCUCUGAUCGACGAGCCAGACCUGACACAACACUUACACCCCCUUCGUUGUACGAUGCUACAAGGAUACUAUCGGGUACCGAGGGUGACACCUCGCUAAGUACUCCUGAUGAUAUCUCUGUAGUAUAGCUAGUCGGUCGUGGUUAUCGAGGGUGAUUCCUCUUUCACCAUUCCCAAUGAUGCCUCUGUCGUGCAACCCCUCAAGUGUGGGACCCCCAAGGGUGAUUCCUCUAAGCCCACCUUGACGGGUACAUCAUUCGGAAUCCAACUAGGGUGAUACCUCGGAUCCCCCCCGAUGUUACAACCACACAGUUACUCGACCAUGUUACUGGGAUCGUUGAUGUUUAGUUGUAAGACGGGUGGAUUCCCGUGAGACUGUGUUGUUGGCCUAAUUAAAAUGUUAAUGGAUUUGGGUAUUUGAUCUGGGUUGGUUGGAGACCUUUUCGCACUAACCUGCUACGUGGGAAGAAUUAUGGGUACUCGGCGUCACGGUAUCAGCCGAAGCUUUUCAGAUGUCAGCAAUCGUAGUGGCGCAUGCCCGAGUGGUCUCGAGAUGCAUUGCGCUUGUGAUUAAGGGAUGCUAGGACUGACGUUGGCCGCCCUCGCAUCGUGCAGGAGCGCGGAGGGGAACUGGGCCCAUGAACCCUUUGCGCUUAGGAUUUAGACCGGCGGGCUGACCUCUCUGAUUAGUCUUAGGUGGGGCUGCGACGUGUCGAUAUUCCGAGGCCGGGCAGGACCCAGAAAAGUAUGUCCGGCCAGAGUGUUAUCGAGCGUGACAGGACAUGUGGUGCACCCCUGCAGGGAUGAAAAUUAACUAUUCGGAUAGUCGUGUCCACGGUUAUAGGACGACUUGGAGUUGUGCCCCGAUCUUAUACAACUACAAUUGUUACUUAACUGGAAUUAGUUUGCCUCGGGAUUGCUUCCUCGCACGGAGUCGAGGGAGGAUCUUUAGGCAUGACCUCACUUUAAUAUUGCUGCAACAAUAUGACUUUUAAUGUGUUACCCCUGUUCUACUCUCGUCUAUUGCUGCAAGACCCUGAAGAUGCUAGUCUUCGAUAGGACUAGGCCUUCUCUCUUUAUUCUCGCAUUGCUGCAGUCAGUCCACAUAUAGCCCCCCCUUCUUUGAUACUGAUGCAUAAUUAUAAUAGUUCUGAUGUAAGACUUGCGAGUACUUUGGAUGAGUACUCACUUCUGCUUUGCUCCCCCUCUUGUCCCCUCGAUCCGUUGCUGCGACCAGAUGAUGGAGCCCAGCAGAUGGAGGUCCCCGCCGCCGACGACUCCUACCCCGACGGUGCGUACUACUACGUGGAGGCCGCUGAUGAUCAGGAGUAGUUAGGAGGUUCCCAGGCAGGAGGCCUCGCCUCGUUCGAUCGUUGUAUCUUUUGUGCUAGCCUUCUCUAAGGCACCCCAUGUUUUAUGUCUGUACUCAGAUUUUGUUGCUUCCGCUGACUCGUGUGUUUAUCGAGCUUUCGUAUUCUAGCCCUCGAGGCCCCUGGCUUGUAAUAUGAAGCUGAUGUUAUUUUAUUUGUGUCUAGAGUUGUGUUGUGAUAUCUUCCCGUGAGUCUUUGGGUUUGAUCGUACACAUUUGCGUAUAUGAUUAGCAUAUGAUUAAAUCGAGGGCGUCACAAGUUGGUAUCAGAGCCGACUGCCUCUAGGUAGCCCCCUUUCCAACUCCUUGGCCGAAGUUUAGUCCAGUGUUUGAAAUACUUUACUAACACUGAUGUUGUGCCUUACGGGCCCACAUCUCAAUUGGGUGGUAUUAGUAUCUUUUACUCCUUCCUAUACUCUGGGUUCUACUCUCUCUUCUCUUUCGGGUCAAAGAUUUUACUAACUCUAACAUUAGGUUCUCGAAUCACAUCGACCCGGAGCGCUGGACUAUCUACUCUUUCUCCUGAAUAUAUAUUACACACACUGUCUUUUGACAUCCGUCAAUCUUAUUUUCAGAUGCGUCCUGCAAGACAGCACGUGCGCCUGACACAGGCCAAUGAGACGACUGGGUUCCCGGCCAUUUUGGUCGACCUCCUGACCAGGCUGGGAUAUCGCUGGUACCCCGAGUACACUGUGUUCGAGGAUUUCCGCGAGUACAACCAGUACCAGUACCAGGAUGAGGUUCGCAUCUUCGACCAGAGGGGAGGCAAGACCCUCGAGCGCCACGUCUUCUGUGGUAUUGGAGUGUCGGUCGAGAUGGCCGUCCAUGAUGUGGCCUACAUCGCCAUCACCUGUCUCCAUGGAGCGUACCCUCACCUGGAGGAGAGCCCUUUCAGAUACAUCCCGCAUGCUCCUGCUUGGGAUGAGACUGGGUCUGAUCUCACUGCCUACGCUUCUGAAGUUCGGGAGCGCAUCGACCGUUCCUACGUCGCUGUCUGCGCCCCCUACGUGACGCGUCGCUACGACGCACGGUUUCUGGUGCAGUACACUCAGGCAAUGGAUCGUGCUUUCCGAGCUCUAACUGUGGAGCUGUAUGCUACGCGCGCUCGUCUUUACGACGCGUUGACAGAGCUGCAACCAUCACACUGCCCGAGGGUUCCCCCCUAUGCGCAUCCGCGAGCCGAGCAGGACAGAGCUACCAUCAGCUCUCGAGUGGACUGAUGUUGGGGGUAGAAACCCUGCACUUGGACCUCAGCUCCUCGACUGGAUGCGGUACCCUCACCAGAGUCACAACGGGACACAGGGUCCUGUUACUACCUUCUAUCACCGCCAGCUACCAGGAUUCGAUCGUCCUCUCCGACGUUGAUGUAGCCUUAUCGCUACAUCUUGUUGUGGUACUCUUCCACCGCGUGCCUGCGCGCCGCCUAGUGAGUCCAGGGUAUCGUCUAAUGCGUCUGGGCUAUCGCAAAAUUUCGAAUUUGUAAUCGUUAGUCUGUACUCGAACUUAUGUGUGGGUCUGUAUGUCGAACUCAACUACUAUGGAGUAACUAUCGCAUUUCCCUUUCAUUAUGCUUGAUUACUUCGUGAAUGUGUGCGAUGCCUUUGCAAUUACUUUAAGCUAAACUACCCCUGUUAAAUAUUUAACAGGAUGGUUAGACCAGCUGGCCGCCCGCGUGCCCCUGCCAACGAUGCACCACCCCCGCCUCCUGAGUAUAUGGCGGGGAUGAUCCAACAGUUUGAGCUGAACCGUCAGUUUAUGCAAGGGCUCAUGGAUCAGUUCCAAAGGCCGAACAUGAACCAACCACAAGGCGUGACACUGCAAGACUUCUGCCGCCUCAACCCUGCGAUCUACCGCAGCUCAACUCAGCCUCUUGAUGCCGAUGACUGGCUCCGUGACAUUUCUUAUGAGCUGGAGUGUGCCAAUGUGCCCCAGGCGAGCUAUGUCAACUUUGCCGCCUACUUUCUGAAGGGUCCCGCUGCUCAAUGGUGGGACAGCCACAGGCGCUCUCAGCCCGAUGGAACUAUCAUCACUUGGGCAGAGUUCAAGGCUCCUUUCCGUGCUCGCUACAUUCCCUAGGGAAUCAUGGACUAGAAGAAGCGUGAGUUCCGCAACUUGGUCCAGGGCAACAAGACUGUGGAUGCUUAUCAGCGGGAAUUUCUCGACUUAUCUCGCUAUGCUGAAGAAGACAUUGCAACUGAUGCACGCAGGCAGGAGAAGUUCCGUGAAGGCCUCCACCCUGAUAUCAAGCUGACACUCCUCGUUCAGGACUAUGCUGAUUUCGCCACCCUGGUGAACAAGGCUAUUCAGGUUGAGACUGGUCUGCAGGAAUACAAAGAUAGCAGCAAGCGCAACCGUGACAUGGGCUCAUCUUCGGGCUCAUGUGCACAGAAGCGAAAGAUCUGGAUUCCCAACAACAUGUACCAUGCACCUGCUCCUGCUCCGAGGCUGUCCUAUGCUGCACCUCGCCUACCUCCUCCACCACCUAGGCAGCCGAGGCUUCCAGCUCCACCGCCUCGAGUUCCUCCUUCCCGUCCUGAGGACGGGCUGUGCUUCAAGUGUGGCCGUCCAGGUCACCGUGCUAGAGACUGCAGGCAGAAUCCGAAUCAGCUGACACUUCCCGCAACUGGCAGUGGCAACAACCAGAACCGCAACUUCAACGCUAAGCCUGCUUAUGUUCGUGGUCAGGCCAACAACAUUGAUAUGGGUCAAGCUCAAGACCAGCCUACUACCGUGAUGGGUACACUUCUCGUUAACUCAGUACCUGCUUCUGUAUUGUUUGAUACAGGAGCAUCACAUUCCUUUAUGUCGGAAAGUUUUGCAUUCAUGCAUGGCAUUAAGUACGAAGAGAUGAACGUCCCAAUAGUUGUAAACACCCCCUCGGGCCAAUGCCGACCCUCCAUGGUCUGCUCCAAUGUCCCAUUGAAAUUGAAGGAUUGGAAUUCUUUGCCUCUCCCAUGUUAUUAAGUUCUUCCAACAUUGAUCUCAUACCGGGGAUGGACUGGUUUAAAGCUCAUACGGCAUCGGUCGUUUGUGCCACCAAGACCGUCCACCUCCUACACCCUUCAGAUGAAUUAAUAAGCUACCAUGCUCAUCUCGUCCGUAAUGCUGAGGCACGGUUGUAUGCUUUGAAUGCAUUAAAUGCGUCGCCUCUUGAAGGGAUUGAAAACAUCCCAGUGGUCCGAGAAUUUCAAGAUGUCUUCCCAGAAGAACUUCCGGGGAUUCCCCCUACUCGAGCUGUCGAGUUUGUCAUUGACUUGGUACCCGGUACCACUCCUAUUGCAAAGCGCCCUUAUAAAAUGCCACCACAUGAACUCCUUGAACUUAAGCAAGAAAUUGACAACUCGCUCCGUCUGGGUUUCAUCCGUCCGAGUUCCUCUGCUUGGGGAGCACCUUCUCUCUUUGUUAAGAAGAAGGAUGGGACAAAUCGAUUGGUUCAAGACUAUCGUCCUAUCAACCAGGCCACUAUUCAAAACAAAUAUCCUCUCCCUCGGAUAAAUGAUUUGUAUGAUCAACUUGCUGGUUCCACCGUCUUCUCUAAGCUCGACUUGAGGUUGGGAUACCACCAGAUCCAUGUUCGCAAGGAGGAUAUUCCAAAGACCGCCUUUGUUACUCGAUAUGGAUCAUACGAGUACACCGUCAUGUCCUUCGGCUUAACCAAUGCACCGGCAACCUUCUCUCGAUUGAUGAAUUAUAUAUUCAUGGACUACCUCGACAAAUUUGUCAUGGUAUAUCUGGAUGAUAUUCUGGUAUUUUCGAAGAACAAAGAAGAGCAUGCUGAACAUCUUCGUCUUGUACUGGAUAAGCUUCGGGAGCAUAAACUCUAUGCGAAGUAUUGCAAAUGUGAGUUCUGGCUAGACGAAGUGACUUACCUUGGUCAUGUGAUUUCCAAGGAUGGUAUUGCGGUCAACCCCGAACGAAUUCAAGCUAUUCUUGUCUAGACUCCCCCGAAGAAUGUUAAGCAAGUCAGAAGUUUUCUCGGACUCGCCAGCUAUUGCCGUCGAUUUGUCGAGAACUUCUCCAAGAUUGCGAAGCCCUUAACCAAUCUGCUUCACAAAGGUGUUAAGUAUGAGUGGACUGAUAAAUGUCAGGAAAGUUUCCAGGCGCUCAAGGACAAACGUACGUCCGCUCGAGUACUUGCUCCUCCAGAUACGAAAAGGGAUUUCGUCAUAUACUGUGAUGCUUCUCGUCAAGGAAUAGGUUGUGUCCUAAUGCAGGAUCGCAAGGUGAUCGCUUAUGCUUCACGUCAACUGCGUGCUCAUGAAGAGAACUACCCAGUUCAUGAUCUCGAGCUUGCCACAGUCAUUCAUGCAUUGAAGGAAUGGUGACAAUACCUUGUCGGUAAUCGCUGUGAAAUCUACACCGACCAUCAAAGUCUGAAGUACUUGUUCACUCAACCGGAGCUGAACCUACGUCAACAAAGAUGGAUGGAGCGUAUAGCAGAUUUUGACUGUAGUAUAUCAUAUACCCCUGGCAAGGCUAACAUAAUGGCUGAUGCCUUGAGUCGCAAGUCAUACUGCAACCACCUCCAGGUUCAUAAGGUUCACGAUCGUCUGCAAGAGGAAUUCCGUAAGCUGAACCUCCACGUUGUUCCUCAGGGUUACCUUGUUCCCCCUCCUGAAGAGUGUCAAAAUAUGAACCUUCGUGUUGUUAAUCAGGGUUCCCUCAGUAACCUAGUGGUUGAACCAGAUCUUGUGAGCUCCAUAAAGAAUCUGCAAGGCUUUGACGAUGAUGUCGACAUGAUUAAGAGCUAUAUUGCGAAGGGUAAACCCUCCUUUUUCACUGUUGAUGAAGAUGGCGCCUUGUAUUUCAAGGGUCGCCUAUUCGUCCCAAAUAAGAAGGAAAAUCUCAGGAUGACCGGGAAGGUGAUGGAAGAAGCUCAUGACACACCAUUGUCUAUUCACCCGGGUAGUACCAAGAUGUACCAAGACAUCCGGCAAAGAUUCUGGUGGCCCAAUAUGAAACAAGACAUUGCAUGCUAUGUGGCAGAAUGUGAUAUAUGUCGGCGUAUCAAAGCAGAACACCAAAAGCCUGCUGGGACUCUGCAACCUAUCUCUAUUUCGGAGUGGAAAUGGGACCAUGUUGAAAUGGACUUUGUCACUGGUUUUCCCAGAUCUCAGAAAGGUAAUGAUGCUAUUCUUGUCGUCAUUGAUCGACUGUCCAAAGUUGCACAUUUCCUGGCCGUCAAAGAAACAAUUAAUGCUAGUCAGCUGGCAGAUCUUUAUAUGUCAAGAGUUGUUUCACUUCACGGUAUUCCGUUGGUAAUCAGUUCGGACCAUGGCAGCUUGUUCACUUCAAAAUUCUGGGAAAGUUUUCAGAAGGCUAUGGGGACUCAUCUGUCCUUCAGCACUGCAUUUCAUCCUCAAUCCCAGGGACAAGUUGAACGAGUCAACCAAAUUCUCGAGGACAUGCUUCGAGCUUGUGUCAUUUAUUUCGGUAAGAAAUGGGAGGAAUAUCUCCCGUAUGCCGAGUUCUCUUACAACAAUAGCUAUCAAGCUAGUCUGAAGAUGGCCCCUUUCGAAGUAUUGUAUGGGCGAAGGUGUCGAACUCCUCUGAAUUGGUCAGAAAUUGGGGAACGAUCACUCUUCGGUCCAGAUAUUAUUCAACAUGCCGAAGAUCAAGUCUGCAUUAUUCAUGAGAAUCUGAAGGCUGCUCAGUCUCGUCAGAAGAGUCAGUAUGACCGUCAUCAUCAAGAUAUGGUCUAUCAACCUGGCGAAAAGGCUUAUCUUCGUGUCACACCAAUGAGAGGUGCACACCGUUUCGGAAUCAAGGGCAAGUUAGCUCCUCGUUAUAUUGGUCCUUUCACUGUUAUCGAAAGGCGUGGAAGAGUGGCUUAUCAAUUGGAACUGCCGGCGAACCUUUCUCAGGUUCACGAUGUCUUCCAUGUUUCUCAGCUCCGUCGCUGCUUCAAGGACCCUAUUCGAGCAGUGGAUCACGAUAUGCUUGAGCUACAACAAGACCUCUCUUAUAAAGAGCAUCCGGUCCGCAUUCUUGACCAAGCUGAACGUAAGACUCGUCGCAAGGUCACCAAGUUCCUUAAGGUGCAGUGGUCAAAUCACUCUGAAGAUGAAGCCACUUGGGAACGCGAGGAUCAUCUUAGUGAUGAAUACCCCAGGCUCUUUCCCUCUACCUCUUAAUUCUCGGGACGAGAAUUCUUGUUAGUAGGGGAGAAUUGUGACAUCCUCGACUUUUGCUACAGUAAAUAUUGUAAUUAAGCUACAGUGAUCACCCGCUAAUGAUGCCACAUCAUCGAGAAUUACCGUCGUUGACCCGCAUUGAAUUUCUAUCCGGAUUCAGAAAUUGAAAACAAAAGAAAAGUAUAUUUAUAAAUUCAUAUUAACUAUUAAAGGAAGACAUGUAUAGAAAGAAAGUAUUAAAAAUAAUAAUAAUAAAAGAAAGAAAAGAAAAGAAAUUAAAAAAAGGAAAUUAGAAAGAGGAAAUAAUAGAAAAAGAAAAAAAACAAAAAAAAAGAAAAAAAAAGAAAAAA
rnacentral:lncRNA from 1 species